rnacentral:lncRNA from 1 species
AUGAAGGCGGAGUAUAAAAUUCCAGCCUGUGUAAGCUAUUGCAAAGGUGGAGGGAGGGAGGGCACUGCCUUCUGUGUGAGGGCAGCGGCCUGUCUGCCAAUCCUGGCGAAGAGCAGCCCACCAGCUCCCUUGCAGGCAUCAUAUUAUGCACUGCCCCCUGUGUGGUUGACAACAUCCAUUUUUCCAUUAAUGUUCCAUUUUCCAAGGUUUCUGAUUUGUCAAAACUUGCCUAAGCCCCACAGCUUCAUCACUAAGUUUAUCAUAGAAAACGUAGCACUGACAGCAAAGAGAAAAUUGUCUUGGCCAGCAGAAGAGGAUUAUUUAGCUUAUGACGGAAUCUAAAUCCACACAGUGAUACAGAAAUAAGGUGCUUAUCCCACUUUAUGGGAACAAAUCCAGUUUCAGACUUCAUUUUGUUAAGCUACGCAAGACAAGCUGUUUUGGUCUCCUUUGGUAAGACAGACUUAUUCCUUUUCUGCAUGUGUUCCAGCUUGACUUUUUCUGUUUUGAUCGUGAAUGAUAUAUAAAUUCUUCUCCAAGUGGAAUUUUCUCAAUGCUUUGUCCAGUGGCAUUAGUACAUCUUUAUCUCCGCUGAAAAUAACAUAUCUGAUACAUCUUUAGUGGUUUUUUUUUCUGUUUUUUUUUCUCUGUUGCAACACAUUGGUAGAUCAUAACUCUUCUAAUAAUGCACUGGUUUGCCCAGACAUUUCUAUCAUUUUUAGCUCUCAGCUGAUGAUGAGUCAGCUUGGAGCAGUCAUUUUUUCUGUCAUUUUGCUAAGGCAUGAUUUGCACUUCUGCACGAUGCACUUUUGAAUUUAAACUGUUUCUCAUUCCAAGUCUCAUGAUCGUUCACUUAUCUCCAUAAAAUAUUCUUAUCUUCUCUAAAUAUUGGCAGUACCUCAAAAUACGUGUCACCAAGAAGUCUGAUCACCUGUCGGUGCUUUAAUGUAGCCAAUUCCUUAUUCACUUGGUGAUUUAAUUGGCUCCUGUCUUCUGCAGUGUGGUCUACUUUGAAUGUCUUACUAAAAUUCACACAGAUUAGGUGCAUUUGCCACUUACUUUAAAUCUUCAAUUUGUUUAAUAUGGGUAUUAAAUUGACCUUGUUUAGUCUGCUGCAGAUAAUCCUCUUUCCUCCUUCCAUAUCUUUAUUCUUUCCUUCACAGUUUGAUCUAGAGCUCCAUGUAACAUAGAGGUCAUACUAAUGGGCUUGUGGAUGUAUGAAACACUCUAUAUUCUUAAAUAGAGCUAUUAAAUUUGUUAUUUGCAGUUGCACAGUAAUACCCAUUCCCGGUGACUGAACGCCAAGUUAGUGCACAAAAUCUAUCAGCUAUCAAAUCCAGAAAUGCCCAGGUCCUAUCUAUAGAUUA